CAGUCGCCGCGGUAAUACAGAGGGUGCGAGCGUUAAUCGGAUUUACUGGGCGUAAAGCGUGCGUAGGCGGUGAGUUAAGUCUGCUGUGAAAUCCCCGGGCUCAACCUGGGAAUGGCAGUGGAUACUGGCUCGCUAGAGUGUGUCAGAGGAUGGUGGAAUUCCCGGUGUAGCGGUGAAAUGCGUAGAGAUCGGGAGGAACAUCAGUGGCGAAGGCGGCCAUCUGGGUCAACACUGACGCUGAGGCACGAAAGCGUGGGGAGCAAACAGGAUUAGAUACCCCCGUAGUCCCUGUCUCUUAUAC
rnacentral:rRNA from 1 species